GACAGGAAAUUGAGGCUGUUCCCUUGACCACUCCAGACAGCUUAGUGGUGACUUCAAGUCCUCUUAUGAGAUGGUGGAUCAUAGCUACUGUUGAUUGAGGGUCCAAGCCAUGUAAAACCAUAAGAAAAAGGAUAGCAGGGAGACUCUGAACCACUGCCAUGCCCAUACCCAGCCUCAAAACAGCAGAGCUGUGUUUGUCAGCUCCACCUGCCUGCUCCAGAGCCUCCCCCAGACCUCUCAGUCUAUGGGACUGUUGUUGGACAGAAGGACAGAAUAAUGGGCUCCAGAUUCACAAGCCCCACCAAGAGGAUCACCCCAGGAACCCUUGGAGGCUGAGGAGUUCACUGAGGCUAGUGCAUCUUGAGACUCAGGAUGAAGACCCAACUUGGGGCUGUCAAAGAGGCUUGAAGAGGCAGAACACCCGAGAGGAGUCUGGGGCCACCACCCAGCGUCACUGUGGGAAAACGGCAGCAGGAAAUGUCCUCUCACCCGUGUGCUUCACCUCUGUCCACACCUUCCCUCCUUCUGGAAGCCUUGCCUGACCACUGGCCUGCCCCUUCUAUGGGAAUUGCUGCUGACCUUGCAGCUCACUGUAGACUUAUAUGUAUGCAGAAAUAUAAUUUUAAUUACUUUUGUAUUGCUCCAAGAGUGAUACCGAAUCACAACAGAAAAUUUAAAUAAACAAAAUAGCCAAAUUAUUACA
rnacentral:lncRNA from 1 species